rnacentral:rRNA from 1 species
AAAUUGAAGAGUUUGAUCAUGGCUCAGAUUGAACGCUGGCGGCAGGCCUAACACAUGCAAGUCGAACGGUAACAGGAAACAGCUUGCUGAUUUGCUGACGAGUGGCGGACGGGUGAGUAAUGUCUGGGAAACUGCCUGAUGGAGGGGGAUAACUACUGGAAACGGUAGCUAAUACCGCAUAA